CAUAGAAAUAAUCCCGUGGGUGAAAUUCCGCCAAAAUCGGAUGAUGGGGAGAGAAAGUGAAGAGAAAACAUGCCACUCCGAGGAUACCAAUCUUCACGUUUUGUUUCAUGAGGAAAAUGACUAAAGGUUUCUUACAACAGAUGGACCCAAGGGCCUGGAUGACGGAAAACUCCAGAGAAGGGACCUUGAAUUUCUCUCCAUUAACCUAAUCACACAAGAUGAAGAGCCUCACUUCAGGAUCUGUAUAGCAGAGGAGGACGUGUAAGCUGUAAGGCGUUAAGUUCUGCCAGGAGGAUGAGACGAGUACGCAGGUGUCGACGCCUCCACUUCAGCCUCCAUCGCUGGCCGGUCCUCGUCCCAUGAGGAGGCUCUGCGAGGUGUCCCUGCUUUUGACGCCUUGCCACCACAAGGAUUGUGAGAACCACCACCUCCAGCCACCGUCACCAUUUGGUCCCCGUCCUUGCCCCCCCCAACGGCAGGAUAUGCGCCCUCUUCAUCUGAAUUAUUCAAAGCAGGCGGGGGCCUACGCCAAAGAGAAUCACUACUGCAUACUUCAGUGUCUCAAUAAAUAUCUUAAACUUUAAUUUGGUCUAUCGAGUCUUUCAUGGUAGAAGUGGAGCUUCUCCCUAUUCCCCCUCCCACAAAUCCAUGAAAAAUGCACUUUUAUUGACUGUGGAAUUGGACUGUGUAACUAUUUUGUACACAAAUGUUAUAUGACCCACUCUUGCACCUUUAUUGCUAAUCACAGCUCCUUGUCUACCUUUACUGCACUGCCACUUAUAUGACUGAAUACUUAAAGCCCGGCCUCUGGACUGUACAACAAAGCUUUAGUAGUCUAUGCGGAUUGAACUGUGAAUUACUAUUGGUCUGGACUCUGUGCCACAUGGCUCUGUCUGUAAUUCAUCUUCUUAUUCCUGUACAUACGUGUAACCCAUCCUAGUUUUGUAUUGAUGACACAGCCUAUUGUAAAUACUAACCUGAUUUGCCGUAGAUUGUGUAGUGUUGUACUAGCAGUAGCACUUGUACUAUAUUAUUACUUGAUAUAUAUUGCUUUUUUGCAUAUGGGGGCUGUUUCAAAACUACAUCUCACUGGACUUGUAUAGUGGCAGUGUUAAUUUUGCUGCAAAUCUAUGCUGCUAUGAGUGAAAUGGUCACAAAGAA